GACACACACGCGGACACACACACACACGCCUCUUCCACGUUUGGAAAUUGGAAUACUGUCUGGGAAAAGGUGGGCAAGGAAUGGGGGCAAGAAUAAGAGAUGAAAUCCCCUGGGCGAUGGCGAGGAUUGCCGACGGUGCUGCCAGGAGAGAGAAGCCAGAGUCACAGCCAAAAAGUUAUAUUUGUGGUGAGAGGUGGGUGUGUUUCAAAUAUGUUCGAUGAGCGAUAGGGCCUGCAAGAGGAAGCUGCUUUCCAGCCUGUGAAGGUCUUCCUGGAGCACUGGCUUAUGCCCACCUGGAGGAGGGUUCCAUCCUGGCCAUGUUAGUGUCUGUGAUGGAAGCCAGAUGAGACUAAGUGUUAUGAGCUAAAUGGUGUCCCUCCAAAUUCAUAUGUUGAGUCCUAACCCCCCCAGGAAGUACCUCCAAAUAUGACUGUAAGUAGAGACAGAACCUUUAAAGAGCGAUUAAAGUAAAAUGAGAUCAUUGAUUGGGUCCUAUUCCAAUACGACUGAUAUCCUUAUAAGAAGAGGACAGACACACAGAGGGAAGACCGUAUGAAGACACAGGGAGAAGAAAGCCAUCCAGGAGCCCAUGAGAGAGGCAUCAGAAGGAAACAACCCUGCGGACACCUUGAUCUUGAACUUCCAGCCCCCAGAACU